ensembl:lncRNA
UAUAUAUUCUGUAAUAUUUUAACAGCUUUAUUUUAGACAGUGCCAUAUUCUUGUUAAUAACUGCUCAAACAGCCUUUAGAAUUAGAAUGUAUAUCAAGUUUAAUAUUUUCCCUUAAUAGGAAAAUAAUCAAUGAUGGGGUUGUGUGAUGCUGCUAGCAUGGCAAUGUAGCAAAACAUGUUAGUAAGCUAUAAACAGUGGUUCCCUGACCAGCCUCUUUUUUUGCCCGUUGCAGUUAAUAAAACAAAAAAUGCAGCUUGUCAUGUUACCGAGAAAGUCCCGUCCCUUGUUGAAAAAAUAAAAUGAACAGCUUUACCUCUGACUGUAACAAAGCAGUUUCGCUGCAGACUCCUUUAUCCUUACAGAAAGCAAUCAAUAAUUAGAUAGGUAAAGUUUGUCAUGACAAAGUUUGAUACUGGCUUGUAAAAGCAAGCCAUCAGUUAGACAGUGUCCCAGUACUUUUGGAGCCAGGCAGUGUCCCAAUACUUUUGGAGCUAGGCGGCGUCCCAGUACUUUUGGAGCUAGGCAGCAUCCCAAUACUUUUGGAGCUAGGUGGUGUCCCAAUACUUUUGGAGCUAGGCAGUGACCCAAUACUUUUGGAACUAGGCAGCUUCCUGAUACUUUUGGAGCUAGGCGGCGUCCCAAUACUUUUGCAGCUAGGCAGUGGCCCAAUACUUUUGGAGCUAGGCGGUGGCCCAAUACUUUUGGAGCUAGGCAGCUUCCCGAUACUUUUGGAGCUAGGCAGUGGCCCAAUACUUUUGGAGCUAGGCAGUGGCCCAAUACCUUUGGAGCAUCCCAAUACUUUUAGGCUUCAGGCCGUGUGCACUCAGGCGUGUGUGAGUGACAGUUGGAGCCAGGUACUGAACAUUCCCUCAAUGUAAGUGAAUGGGAGUUUUGGGGAAUUUUCACCGUCCGCAGCGGGAAUACUGUCCAAUCAGUUUGGAAAAAUAGAGCGUGACCAGUGUGAUCAGCCCGAAGGACUGUUUAGUGGAAGUAGCUUGAAAGCUCAACGAGUUAUAACAGUCAGAAAUUUUUCAUGCAAGUCAGUGGGAAUUUUAGCCACUUUGA